rnacentral:rRNA from 1 species
GAUGAACGCUGGCGGCGUGCUUAACACAUGCAAGUCGAACGAAGCACUUUAUUUGAUUUCCUGCGGGACUGAUUAUUUUGUGACUGUGUGGCGGACGGGUGAGUAACGCGUGGGUAACCUGCCUUGUACAGGGGGGUAACAGUUGGAAACGGCUGCUAAUACCGCAUAAGCGCGCAGGAUCGGAUGAUGCGGUUUGGAAAGCUCCGGUGGUAUAAGAUGGACCCGCGUGGGAUUAGCUAGUUGGUGAGGUAACGGCCCACCAAGGCGACGAUCCAUAGCCGACCUGAGAGGGUGACCGGCCACAUUGGGACUGAGACACGGCCCAAACUCCUACGGGAAGCAGCAGUGGGGAAUAUUGCACAAUGGGCGAAAGCCUGAUGCAGCGACGCCGCGUGAGCGAAGAAGUAUUUCGGUAUGUAAAGCUGUAUCAGCAGGGAAGAUAAUGACGGUACCUGACUAAGAAGCACCGGCUAAAUACGUG